rnacentral:rRNA from 1 species
GACGUAGGGCGCGAGCGUUGUUCGGAUUCAUUGGGCGUAAAGGGUGCGUAGGUGGCGGGGUUAGUCAGGUGUGAAAUCUCGGGGCUCAACCCCGAAACUGCACUUGAUACUGCCUUGCUAGAGUACUGGAGAGGAGAUUGGAAUUUACGGUGUAGCAGUGAAAUGCGUAGAUAUCGUAAGGAAGACCAGUGGCGAAGGCGGGUCUCUGGGCCGAAAUUGACGCUGAGGAGCGAAAGCGUGGGGAGCAAACAGG